rnacentral:rRNA from 1 species
AACGAACGCUGGCGGCGUGGAUUAGGCAUGCAAGUCGAACGCGAAAGAGGGAGCAAUCCCUCAAGUAGAGUGGCGAACGGGUGAGUAACGCGUGAAGAACCUGCCUUCAACAGGGGGAUAACACUCCCAACGGGGUGCUAAUACCGCAUGAGACCACGGGUCCGCAUGGACCUGAGGUCAAAGGUGGCCUCUGCUUGCAAGCUACCGGUUGAAGAUGGCUUCGCGUCCCAUAGCUAGUUGGCGGUGUAAAGACCACCAAGGCGACGAUGGGUAGCUGGUCUGAGAGGAUGGUCAGCCACACUGGGACUGAGAUACGGCCCAGACUCCUACGGAGGCAGCAGUCGAGAGGCUUUGG